GCAGUGAGGCUGAUUAACCGAAGUGAACAAACGAGAUCGCCUAAUACUGUACCCACAGUAGGCUUGCAAAGAAGGCUGGCGAACUCUAGGUAGGGUGUCAGCGUGAACUGUUGGUCUCCAGUCGUUGAUAAGAAGAAUUGAUAACUCUGUACGGAAGCGAGAGAGAGGGCCGAGAGGAGGCGAGGCGAGGAGUUUGAGAUUGUCCUUGACAAAGCCAACCAUUUCCAUGCUCUCACUCCAGAGGAAACCGGCGACAUUUCCAUCGAUGGGCAGCAGCGCCACUGGUUCGUGGUUUGCUAUCAGCGGUCGGGGUUACAGGGGAUUAAAAUCGACUG
rnacentral:sRNA from 1 species